rnacentral:rRNA from 1 species
CCUACGGGUGGCAGCAGUGAGGAAUAUUGGUCAAUGGACGAGAGUCUGAACCAGCCAAGUAGCGUGAAGGAUGACUGCCCUAUGGGUUGUAAACUUCUUUUAUAUGGGAAUAAAACGUUCCACGUGUGGGAUUUUGUAUGUACGAUAUCAAUAAGGAUCGGCUAACCCCGUGCCAGCAGCCGCGGUAAUACGGAGGAUCCGAGCGUUAUCCGGAUUUAUUGGGUUUAAAGGGAGCGUAGGUGGAUUGUUAAGUCAGUUGUGAAAGUUUGCGGCUCAAACGUAAAAUUGCAGUUGAAAAUGGCAGUCUUGAGUACAGUAGAGGUGGGCGGAAUUCGAGGUGUAGCGGUGAAAUGCUUAGAUAUCACGAAGAACUCCGAUUGCGAAGGCAGUUCACUGGACUGCAACUGACACUGAGGCUCGAAAGUGUGGGUAUCAAACAGGAUUAGAUACCCCUGUAGUC